GGUCAUAUAUAAUUGUCGCCUUUCAGAACCCUAGGAUUACACUUUCAUCUUAACAUUCACAUUGUAUUGGAUUUAUAUUGUGAAUAUCUUGGGCCUUGGAGGUCUGACAUUCAUUUGUAGAUGAAUUGCUGGUAUCAUAAUUCACAACCAUUUUCAUGCAACUCGUUUUUCACUUGAUAGACUAUGUCAGAGACACACUUCUACUAGAGCUAUCAUGCGACAACACUUUGUUGGGAAUAAUCACAAAUAACCCAUUGCUUCCAGUUCAGCAUUUCAGUAUCAGCAAACCUCCUCAGGAAUUCAACCAUAAUUACCUGGAGAGCUAUUGUCACUCCCACU